GGGCGGGUGGUGAAAUGGCAGACACGCUAGGUUAAGGGCCUAGUGGAGCAAUCCGUGGAGGUUCAAAUCCUCUCCCGCCCACCA
rnacentral:tRNA from 1 species